rnacentral:rRNA from 1 species
UCGAACGCACCUUCGGGUGAGUGGCGGACGGGUGAGUAACACGUGGGAACGUGCCCUUUGGUUCGGAAUAAUCCGGGGAAACCUGGCCUAAUACCGAAUGUGCCCUACGGGGGAAAGAUUUAUCGCCAUUGGAGCGGCCCGCGUCUGAUUAGCUAGUUGGUGGGGUAAAGGCCCACCAAGGCGACGAUCAGUAGCUGGUCUGAGAGGAUGAUCAGCCACACUGGGACUGAGACACGGCCCAGACUCCUACGGGAGGCAGCAGUAGGGAAUCUUGCGCAAUGGGCGAAAGCCUGACGCAGCCAUGCCGCGUGAAUGAUGAAGGUCUUAGGAUUGUGAAAUUCUUUCAGCGGGGAAGAUAAUGACGGUACCCGCAGAAGAAGCCCCGGCUAACUUCGUGCCAGCAGCCGCGGUAAUACGAAGGGGGCUAGCGUUGCUCGGAAUUACUGGGCGUAAAGGGCGCGUAGGCGGGUGUCUAAGUCAGAGGUUAAAUCCCAGGGCUCAACCCUGGAACUGCCUUUGAUACUGGACACC